GUACUGGCCUGCACGUGUGGUUUGGCGGCAAUGCUUGGUACCAUGUGCACUCGGGCCUAUAGCUCAACGGUUAGAGCAGGGGACUCAUCGAAAGGUGCCGCCAUGCAGGAAUGCGUGGACGGGAACGGGAUGAAUUCAGGGAAACCUCAGCGGCGCACAUGCGGCCGGUGGCAACCCUGAGCCAAGCCGGCGGUACACCGCCGGAAGGUGCAGAGACUACCUGAGGGCUUCAGCGCCCUUGAUCACAGGCUCGAGCGUCCCGCACCCCACCCGCCACAAGCGGAGGGUGAAGAGAUAGUCCGCGCCGGAGGGAAACCUUCGG
rnacentral:ncRNA from 1 species